rnacentral:tRNA from 1 species
UAUUAAGUGGCUGAAUCUUAAGCACUAGAUUUUUAAUCUGGACAAUGAUUAUUAUUUUAAUCCUUAAUAG